rnacentral:rRNA from 1 species
GACGAACGCUGGCGGCGUGCUUAACACAUGUAAGUCGAACGGUGAACUCCGCUUGCGGGGGGAUCAGUGGCGAACGGGUGAGUAACACGUGGGCAACCUGCCCUCAGCUCUGGGAUAACUCCAAGAAAUUGGGGCUAAUACCGGAUAUGACCGCUGACCGCAUGGUCUGGUGGUGGAAAGAUUUAUCGGCUGGGGAUGGGCCCGCGGCCUAUCAGCUUGUUGGUGGGGUAGUGGCCUACCAAGGCGACGACGGGUAGCCGGCCUGAGAGGGUGACCGGCCACACUGGGACUGAGACACGGCCCAGACUCCUACGGGAGGCAGCAGUGGGGAAUAUUGCGCAAUGGGCGAAAGCCUGACGCAGCGACGCCGCGUGGGGGAUGACGGCCUUCGGGUUGUAAACCUCUUUCAGCAGGGACGAAGCGAAAGUGACGGUACCCGCAGAAGAAGCACCGGCCAACUACGU